CUCUCUCUCUCAAAAAUAAUUAAACAUUGAAAGAAAUAGACUUAAAAAAGGGAAAGCUUUGGUUAGCAGUAGAUAAUGUGCUUUUAGCCUUCCUCGUGACUUGGUGACCUUAAAGCAGAGGUUCGGGCACUCAUCUUGGAUGAGCAGGUUGCCGGGCAGAAAACUGUGCUGCCUUUGCUAUGUUUCUCUUAGCGAAGUAAAUAUGUUACCUGUCUUUUUUUUUUUUUUUUUCCAUGUAAGAAUGCCAUGAGACAUUUUAAGUUUUGUAAAUUGCUCUUUGUAGGUGGUUUCCAACUAUCUCAAUGGACGAAACUAGGCAUUCCCUGAAAGAGCAAAAGAGAGUAAGGCUUCUGGUGGUGAUCGUGUCCUCAGUGGGGUUUUAGGAUUGCUGCUGGCUUUUGGUGGCUUCUCCUUUUGUCACAAUUUUGGGAGACGCGGGGAACAGUGUGAGUGGCGCCCAUCCCAGACCUUCAGAUGGUGGUAGGACUCCAGAUAGAAGAACGGAAAUCCACUUAAUAAAAACCUUAAUUUAUUUGUUUUUACUCUAAAAGGGAUACAUGUCCACAGUAGAAAAUUGAAAACUGUAGGAGAAAAAAAAGAACAAAGAGCCAAAAAUAAAAUACUUCUACUACCAAACACAAUCCUGAUUAAUAUUUCAAGGGUUGUUCAAAUACAUUUUUUUUCCUUAUAAAUAAGGCUUUAGGGUUUUUUUUGUUUUUUUGUUUUUUGUCUUCUUGGUGGAUAUCGUAGUCUGUGUACUUCUCCCUUUAGCUUUAUGAUGGGCGUUUCCAUAUCGAAAUGCAGUCCUCGGUGCCCAUCUGGUUCUCUGAGUCCGUAAGUGGCUCACUAGCCUCAUUCGUGGUUCUUUUCGAAAAUGAUUCACUGGCUAUUAAGGCGGAUAGUAUGAUACGCAGUGACUGUGGCACAGUGGCUAGUUUGUAUAAAAGAUCAUUUUGAAGGGAGCCUUCAUUUGUUCACUUCCAAUUCUGGGCCCUUCACAAAAUAAUCUCAAGAUUAGAAAAGUUGAAAACAAAACGAUCUCUUCUUGAUUGAUACUCUCUCUUCCCACCCUCCCUGUCAACUGACAUUUUAGAAAGUACGUGGAGAGUGUUGGGUAUGUUUCUAUGACAUUCUACGGCUUUAUUUUAAUUAUACCACUUAUCAAUAGUACAAUCGUAGAGAUUCUGUUCUCCUAAAAAUAACAUUUUUAUAAUUAGAGCAUGCCAGUAUUACUAUUUGAAAGUUGUAUUUCCCUGAAAUACUUCCGAGUAAUUUUUUUUUUUUGAGAAAAAUUACAUGUCUGUUCCAUGUCGACUUCAUUUUUGAGAUAAUACCAAAAAUCUGCAACUUUUUAGGCAGAGCGAAAUGCUUGCAUCUUUCUAGCCCUUGAUGCUGUUAGACACAAAAUAGAAUCCAUUGUCCAGGAUAAAGUAGAAUUUUUCAUUUAUUCAUUCAUAGCCUUUGGCCCAAUAGAUCCAAUUAGAGAGUUUAUCCACAUGAAGCUAUAAGAACUCAAAGGUAAAUGUUCAAGCAAGAUAAAUGUGAAUAUUUAACCAGCACAGUAGAGAACCUGGCUAACCAGAAGGUAACCUGUCAGUACCCUGUAUCAUGCCUGCAGGCUGGGAAUCAGCCUUGCGUGCAGGGAUGUUCACUGCAGAAUAUUUUACCUAAAUUGAUAGGAGAAGAUUGAUGAAAUAAAUUAGGACCCAGCCAUGAAAUAGAGAACUGUGCAGCAAUUAAAGGUGAUGAUGGGGAUCUUUCUUAUUGUAAAAAGCAUUCACGAUGUAAUCAAUGUGAACAGCAUGUUAGGUAAUAUUUUACAUGGUAUUAUUCAGUUUUGAUUUAAAAAUUAUACACAUGCACAGGUAGCUCUGAGCAGUAAGAUUAUGGAGGAAAUUUACUUUAUUCAUGUUUUACAACAAGAAAAUAUUACUGUUAAAAUUAGGAAAACUUUUUAUAUUGAAGGAAAAACAUUUGUAAAAGCUUAAAGGUUGAAAAGAAGAAUAUUGGAGUAUUUAUUAGUCAUAAAAAGGAAAUGCUGUGUUUUAGAAAGGCCUCCAGCAGCUCUCAAAUGGCUACAAAGCUCUGUUCAUCGAAUCCUGGGUCUUUAAGUAUUCAGAAAUCUAUUUUAAUUAAAAACCGACUUGGAAAUCAUAACUAAAAUAAAGGUAGCCUCAGUGUCUCAACUCAUAAGAGCCAUAUAACCCAAAGCUAAUACUAAAAGGGGGUCACCUAAUUAACCCUCCUCAAAAACUCAGCACGUACACCAAUUCUACGUGAACCAGGGCGGAAUUUGUAUUCAAUAGUUGUUUCAGGGAAUCUCUUUUAUUUGCCUCCUAGCAUCCCUAAUUUGUGCAAAGAUUGGAUGCUGUUCACUUAAAAUCUGUGUUUGUAUAGCCAUAAUUGAAUGUUUAAAGAAACCCAAAGCUUCCCUGGAGAAGCAUUUUUCACAGUGAUGCUGUCUGCCUACAGAGCUGCGGGGACCGCUUUAUGACUUAUCAUAACUCUCCUGGGUCCCCGUGGGCUCUCAGGCCAUCCCUCAAACAGGUGCUCUGUGCAACUGCAUCUUUGAUCAAAAUGCUUUAUUGGACAGGCUGGCCAGCUUAGACAUCCGUUUUUCCAGUUUAGGAUAAUUAGAAGUGAUGGCGGGAGAUCACACUCCCCCCGUCUCUCAGAUCCACCGAGCGUUCUGUUUUUGAAGCCUUGGCCCAUCACUGACUGGAGGCAGGUGCUGCGGGAAGGUCCACGGCCCACUGAAUUUAUAUCUGCUGGUCUUCGUGCGAGGGGAACUCCGGCAUUGGCUUUUAUUCCGUCUGGAAUAAUUCCAGACCUCUCUUAAGGGGCAAAUCUAAUUAAUAUUCACUCAAACGGUAGAAGAAAGGGCAUUUUAAAUUUGUCAGACAUGGGAGUAAAUAUUUGGGCAGGUGUUUAUUUGAUAGCAUCUCUUGGAGCAUCCUGAUGCAGGAGGGAGAAAUGUGGCCGGUGCAGAGAUAGCGUCGGAUAGGUUAGGGGUGGGCUGAAUAGUCACCCAGAGGAUAUGAAUCCAUGGUUCAUGUUGACCCAAACCAUGUUGGACAGCCGGACUGAGAUGCGGUCAGUGGCCUCGGGGCUGUGUCCGAGGCCUCGUCCUGGCCCGCAAUUUCCUGAGCCAUCUCUAUGAAGACAUCAGAGGUGCACUGACCACACUUCUUAACAACGCCAAACUUGAGGGCUAACUGCUCUGCAUCACAGAAUCCGGAUUAUAGAGAUUUCAGCAGUGUGGCUCAAUGGGCCAAAACCAACAAGGUGAGAUUUAAUGAGGAUAAAUGUAAAGUCCUAUGCUUGGGUUAACGGAAAACAAACGUAAGUUCAGAAGGAAAUUUACUCGUAGUUCUCAUGAAUGAGACCCACAAACUCAACAUGAGCCCCUGAGGCCAUGUGGCUGCUCUAAGGUGAUUGCCACCUGUGUGUGUGCAGGGGUGCCAUGGCCCUAAACCAGAGUGGCUGUUGUCCUGCCGCGCGGUGACCCUGUCGGAUCACUGAACCCUCCAGAACACCCCCCCUGUGCCGCUCCACGAUGUCCUUAAGGCCAGGGUCUCAGCUGCCUCCUCCACCUGCGUCCCCAGGGUCUGGCUGGUAGUGGGCACCUGUUAAGCACUUACCGUGAGAUUCAAGGAUGGAAUGCCGACAGUCUGGACCAAGCCAGAAGUGAGUCAUCAGGAGGUUAAGGGUCUGUCUUGGGUGGUGUAAGAAACUAAUUAUUCAAGGAGACACAGGGCUGGAGUCAAGAAACCAGGCUUUGAAACCCAGCUCUGCUUCCAGCCACAAGCUUACCUUCUCUGUUUUCUCAUCUGCAAGAAGGAAGACGAGUCUGUGCACGCUCAGCGCUAAAAGAUUCGAGCUCGUGUUGGUUUUCGAGAUCAGGUUUGGAUGACUCAGUGACCCAUUCCUGUGCACCCAGCGAUAUUUGUUACUUCGCCUAAGUAUAUUUUGGGUUCGCCGAAACUAUGAUCUACUUCAAACUUCUUAAAUUAGUGGAGAUCAGAUCAUGCCUAAUCUUGCCUGUGAGAGUUGAUGAUAGCCAAAUAGCCUGAUUCUGACAAGAGCUGGAAAGGAUUAGCGUGCUAAGCUUUUGGCUCUUAAUUUCACAAUCUUGACAUCUUUAGGAAUUAAAAAUUUUUAAGUUUUGGUGCACCAAGUGCUGUUUUUUAAAAAAUUUCUACUCUUGCAGAGGAAGCCCACCCUGCCUAUUAGAACCCCCAGCUUUAAUUUGCCAGGGUGGGGGGGGGUGUCUAAUUACUGACUCAAGUACCAGGGACAAAACCUUAUCUCAGAAAGUCUUCUGUCUACUUGCCUGGUUUUGUCUCUCAGCUGCUUCCCUUCCACCAUCCACAAGUCUUUAUUAACUCAAAUGAUUGAUAAUGAGUUAAUAAUAAAUCAAUGAAAUCGUUUCUUUGUUCACUUAGUCGUUUGUUCACAAAUGUUUAUUUAGUACCAGACACUUGGGGUUGGCACUGGAGAUAGAGUGAACAAGGUCAAGGCCUUGUCCUCUUGGAGGCCAGUCAAGGAGCCCAACACUACACAGGCCAUCACAAAACAGUAAUGGAAGACAGCGAGUGGGGCUGAGAGCCGAGGAAGACAGUGUGGGGCCCGGCAUGGCCUAGGGAAGGAAGGCAUGUGAGGAAGCAGAUUUUGAACUACACAUGACUCGGACCAAGCCAGGCAAAGGAGGGCAGAGGGUAGAGGGUUCCCAGAGAAGGAGGGGCUGGCAUAAACGUCGUGGGGCAGGGGCGAAGGAGCUUUGAAGCAUUUCAGAAACUAAGAGUCGGUGUGCUACUGGGCAAGAGGGAGACGGUAAGAGAAGUGGACGUCAGCCCGUGCAGGACCUCGUGCUCUGUGAUAAGGACCUCAGUGCCUGUAAGUAGGGCAAUGACGUGAUAAAAUUCAGUUUUUAAAAUAGCAUUCUGGCUACACGUGAAGAUGAGGUUGGGGAAGCUGAAGAGUGGGGUUGGACGGGAGGCUGUUUAUCGCCGGUGCACAGGAAGGAGCAGGUAAUGGCUCCAAGCAACAGAGUCCACAGAAAGGGGUAGAUGAGAGACGUUCAGCGGCGAGAAUGGGCAGAAAGUGAUGAGCAGUUGGCUGCCCGGGGGAAUGGAAAGGGCAACUCUUCUACAGGAAAUGCUAGAACAUUGAUGAUCUGUGAUCAGAAUAGAGAACCCUAGGAAAGAACCCAAAACUUGCCCUUUGGGCAAUGGCCGGGGACACCAAGACGUGGAUCGUGGUGGGCACGGUCCUUAAAGUCUUGCAGAAGCGUGGACUUUUGCGCCUAACAGAAUCCCCUCGGGAGGUGACCUGUGGAAGGUUAUCAUGUGGAAUGGGGCAUGACAUUUCUUUGGGAUCUGUGGAUGUUUGUGGCUGGCCUAAGUAUAGCAAUGUCCGGGGGCUGUGAGCUGAAGUGCACCAGCCUGUGGUGAAUGGGACAUCGUGAGGCCUCGGCCAUGACCCUGAGAGUGUCUGGGUGGCUGUCACAACCCAAGGCACUGUCAGUGUUUCCUGUGAUAUCUGGGUGGGAGCACAGUGGGGCGAGCCUGUAGCUUCGAGGCCUGCUCCGGGACCUAUUCCACAUCCUUCCUAUAGUCUGUCUCCAUCUAGCGGGUGCUCCCUCUGCCAGGAGUGCCUACAGACAACCUUCCCCUCCUUCAACUCUGUCUGGGGCAUUUUCGUGGGACCACCAGCACGAGGAUCACCUGGGGAGCUUGUUCCCAAGGCAGAUGCCGGGCCCCGUGUCUCUCUAUUGAACGAGAAUCGCCAGUCAUAGGGCCUGGGGGUUGUAUUUGGGAUACAUUCCACAAGGAGUUCUCUUCAUAACCGGCCACAGGAAGCUAUUGACGUUAAUUUAAAUAAAAGUCAAACUUCAGUUAGUUGGUAACACCAGCCACAGUUCACAUGCUCAUUGCCACUUAGAGCUGUGUGAACAUUUCCGUUAUGGCUGAAAGUUGUGCUGGAGGUGCUGGGGUGGGCAGGGAAAUGCCAGCCCACUAGAUCCUCCUAGUUUGGGGUCCCUGUCUUAGCUGAUGCAUUGCCCAUGAGAAUGGUCUUUCCUACAGGGAGUGACCACCCCUCUCCAGGCUACCUGAUUCCUGCAGUACGGCAUGUUCCAUCCCCUGCUUUGCAGCUUCGGGCUGUACCCGAUGGGUCGCCUCUGCACUUGGAUGAGUUGGAGAAAGGACAGUGGAAAAUCCUCUGCCCAUGACUGUAGACUCCUGCAGUUGAUGGACUUCAGGGGUCUUCUAACUAGACCCAACCCCUUCUGAAUUAAGUUAAAGUCUCUUAACAUUUAAGAGUUCUUUCUACUUGGGCUAAAUUUUGUUUGCUGGGUAAGAACUGCAUCCCCUUGAACUUCCUUCCUCAUCUCAGUCUUUGAAGUUAUACAGACAUUGGAAAAGGUCAGCCCGCCAUUUUUAGAAUUUUUGGCUCCCCAGCCUGACUUAACCUUUAACGUGCCUGAGCUGGUUAAGUUCAACCUUUCCAAAGCGGUGCCCCUCUACAAUUCCAGUUUGAGAGUAUGGCAUCCUUGAAUGGACUUCUUUAAAGUUUGAAGGGUUUGACAAGGUCAUUUGAGAUGGACGUGGAUUUCCAAGUCUAAUUACAUCACUUCCAGUCCUUUGCUUCUUGUGCCUCAGGUUUAUGAUUUUCUGAUGAGAAUCUGGCACAUCCUCA